GGAAGGUUGUCCGAGCGGCCGAAGGAGCCGGUCUUGAAAACCGGUGUGCGGUAACCCCGUACCGUAGGUUCGAAUCCUACACCUUCCG
rnacentral:tRNA from 3 species